CAGAUCAACACAAAUGCAGUAGAAAUUUAUUUUAUUUUAUUUUUCCUUUUGAACUUCAUAACUUUUCUAUUGAUCUCCCCUUCUUCUUCUUCUUCUUCUUCUUCUUCUUCACCUGUCUUGCCAGCCAUUUACGAUAUCUCAUUUUCUUCAGCUUUUCAGUCUUCAGCUAUAGUCAAUGGCAGUAGUACUUUUUGGUCCCAUUUCACUUCUUUAGAAGCAAAUUUGGACAGGACAGAUGAUGGGUUUUCAAGAAACCUGAACUUCUCUUGCAUAAUUUGCGUGCUAAUGUCAGUUAAUUCGUCACAGCAAAGAAAAGAUGAGCUAGCCCUGGAUCUGCCAAGAAUAAGCCCUUCAAUGAGAUCACAAGUCACAGAUCCAACUGUUGUAGAUUUGUAUUUUGUCGUCUAAUUGCAUGAUUUGCAUCUUCUCAAGAGACAACCAAGAUUAAACACAUAUUUUAUUACUCUACCAUUCAAUAUUAAACAGACCAGUCAAAAUAAAUGUUUCAAAUUUAUUUGUAUUUUAUUACAACUACUUUAGAGAUACUAGUUUAUUGCCCAUUUAUGCCUUUGGGAUUUAUCUCUCAUCUUCAUUUCAUUCAGUGUGCAAUUUCCACAUUUUCAGGCUCAUUAGCCAUAGCCAAGCUUUAGAUACGCCUGCAGCAAUUAGCAGUAAAUCACUUUCCUCACAUAUCAGGACUUGACAGCAAAUUAAUAGCGAUUGCACCUUCCAUAUUGCCUUUUCCUCAUCAACCUAGAACAAAAACAAACACAGCAAAAUCUGGAGAUAGAACAAGCUAUUAGCCACAACCACAUACAGAUCAAAGGCCAGUAAUCUGUAAUAUGUAUGUAUGUAUACAGCCUAUAUGAAAAAGAGAUGCAGACUUUUCAUCAGUACUUCUGUAGCUUUUCUUCUUAGCAGAUGAUGAAUUAUAGAGGUGGAUGGUGGCAGUACUCUAGUAGUACAACCAACACUACUGGCUACUUUAUGGGUAAGGAUGCGACUUGAGAGAGGAUUCCGUCUGAGCAGACUCACAGGCUUUUAUUUGCUUUAGAAAACACCACUGCAAAAAGCUUCAAACAACAGAAAGAGAGAAAGAAAGAGAGUAAGAAAGAGAGAAAGAAGUCCCCUUUGCUUUUGCCAUCCUUUCCUUUCUUCUCUUCUCCUCCUCUGACAUUACUAGCAGCCUGGCCUGUCUGAAACUGGAACGUGAUAUUUCAUACCGCAAAAAUAGUCUUUUUCAACACACACUCACACACUAUACGUAUUUUUUCUUUUUCUUAUAUAUAUAUAUAUACACACACAGAUAAAUGUGUGAUGUGUGUAUUUAUCCUUACAAAAGCCAAAGUACUCAGGGUAAUUGUCAUCAAUGCAAAGUACACUCUCAACCACACACACAAAUAGAUGCAGUCCCCCCCCCCUCCCUUCUUCCCCUCCAACCUGUCCACUCACUCCCACAGUUUUCUCUUUCCAUGACUUAACCUUGGGUUUGAUUUUCCAUUUUCCCUGCUCCCCAGAU